rnacentral:rRNA from 1 species
UACGGGGGGAGCAAGCGUUGUUCGGAUUUACUGGGCGUAAAGGGCGCGUAGGCGGUCGUGACAAGUCACUUGUGAAAUCUCCGGGGCUUAACUCGGAACGGUCAAGUGAUACUGUCGGACUAGAGUACAGAAGGGGCAACUGGAAUUCUCGGUGUAGCGGUGAAAUGCGUAGAUAUCGAGAGGAACACCAGUGGCGAAGGCGGCUCACUGGCUCGACACUGACGCUGAGGUGCGAAAGCGUGGGGAGCAAACAGG